rnacentral:lncRNA from 1 species
AAUGCUUCCAGUGACAAUCCAUUCACUGAAAUUUGUUAACAAAACAUAUGUUGAAGAAACUGGGAGGGAUUGCAACUGCUUUGGAGGACAGGGUCAUAAUUCAAAAUGAUCUGGAUAAAUUGAAGAAAUAGUCUGAGGUAAACAGGAUGAAGUUUAACAAAGACAAAUGCAAAGUGCUCCACUUAGGAAGGAAAAAUCAGUUUCACACAUACAGAAUGGGAAGAGACUGUCUAGGAAGGCGUACAGCAGAAAGGGAUCUAGGGGUUAUAGUGGACCACAAGCUAAAUAUGAGUCAACAGUGUGAUGCUGUUGCAAAAAAAGCAAACAUGAUUCUGAGAUGUAUUAACAGGUCUGUUGUGAGCAAGACACGAGAAGUCAUUCUUCCGCUCUACUCUGUGCUGGUUAGGCCUCAGCUGGAGUAUUGUGUCCAAUUCUGGGCACCGCAUUUCAAGAAAGAUGUGGAGAAAUUGGAGAGGGUCCAAAGAAGAGCAACAAGAAUGAUUAAAGGUCUUGAGAACAUGACCUAUGAAGGAAGGCUGAAAGAAUUGUGUUUGUUUAGUUUGGAAAAGAGAAGACUGAGCGGAGACAUGAUAGCAGUUUUCAGGUAUCUAAAAGGGUGUCAUAAGGAGGAGGGAGAAAACUUGUUCACCUUAGCCUCUAAGGAUAGAACAAGAAGCAAUGGGCUUAAACUGCAGCAAGGGAGGUCUAGGUUGGACAUUAGGAAAAAGUUCCUAACUGUCAGGGUGGUUAAUCACAGGAAUAAAUUGCCUAGGAAGGUUGUGGAAUCUCCAUCUCUGGAGAUAUUUAAGAGUAGGUCAGAUAAAUGUUUAUCAGCGAUGGUCUAGACAGUAUUUGGUCCUGCCAUGCAGGCAGGGGACUGGACUCGAUGACCUCUCGAGGUCCCUUCCAGUCCUAGAAUCUAUGAAUCUAUGAAUAGCAGACAAAUCAGCAAACAUUGAAGUCUAUUCAUAGACGAUUCACAAACAGAAAAAAAGGGUUCCAUUUGUUA